UCCAAUUUGAAGUGAGUACUAUGACUGAGGCAUAGUGCUUGCCAUUGUUUUACCUUGACUUCCUCACUUCGUACACCAAGGAAGUUUAGUUUCCUGCCUCCACCAGAGUGAGGGCAUACUUGGUGUUAGUAAAUUUCAUAAAUAU
rnacentral:lncRNA from 1 species